rnacentral:sRNA from 1 species
UCACGCCGUGACGCCUGUUGAUCCAGGCC